GCAGAAGUAAAGAUUUAGUAUGGAGAUUUUUUUAUGAAUAUUAUUGCUAGCCUCAGAGAUUAAAGUAGGGUUCAUUCUAACCAAAUUAACACCAACAGCUAUCCCUUGAAUGCAAAUCAGAAGAGACAGCGCCAACAAAGCAUUGCACCAUGGGAUCCCCACCGUGGCCAAAGUCGUAGAGGCUAGUGUAUAGAACAGCAGAAGCUGCUG
rnacentral:sRNA from 1 species